AUGCAGUCGAGCGCGCCCUUCGGGGUGAGCGGCGGACGGGUGAGUCCCCUUUGGGAAUAUGCCCUUCUCUAAGGAAUAGCCUCUGGAAACGGAGAGUAAUACCUUAUACGCCCUUCGGGGGAAAGAUUUAUCGGAGAAGGAUUAGCCCGCGUUAGAUUAGGUAGUUGGUGGGGUAAUGGCCUACCAAGCCUACGAUCUAUAGCUGGUUUGAGAGGAUGAUCAGCCACACUGGGACUGAGACACGGCCCAGACUCCUACGGGAGGCAGCAGUAGGGAAUCUUAGACAAUGGGGGCAACCCUGAUCUAGCCAUGCCGCGUGUGUGAUGAAGGCCCUAGGGUCGUAAAGCACUUUCGCCAGAGAUGAUAAUGACAGUAUCUGGUAAAGAAACCCCGGCUAACUCCGUGCCAGCAGCCGCGGUAAUACGGAGGGGGUUAGCGUUGUUCGGAAUUACUGGGCGUAAAGCGCACGUAGGCGGAUUAGUAAGUUAGAGGUGAAAUCCCAGGGCUCAACCCUGGAACUGCCUUUAAUACUGCUAGUCUUGAGUUCGAGAGAGGUAAGUGGAAUUCCGAGUGUAGAGGUGAAAUUCGUAGAUAUUCGGA
rnacentral:rRNA from 1 species